CAGGCCGACUGCGGCGCUCAGGACGAGGCCGGCCCAGAAUCCUGCCCAUGCCCUCUGCUCCCGGACGCGGCCCAGGAGAUCCAAGUUCGGCGGCGGCGCCUGGAGCGGUCGGGGGCCGCGGGAGGCCCGUGGAGCAGCUGGAGCGGCCCGGUGUGCGUGCCCCGCGGCGACCUGCGGGCCCCCGACGUGAGCUUUGUGGAGGAGCCGCUGGGCCUCGAUGGGACGCGCUUGGUGUCAGUGCGGGAGCAGCCGCCUGAGCCCGAGCAGCCCGAGGGCUGCCGGGACGCCGCUUCGGGCGCGCGGGUCUCGCACUGGGUG